rnacentral:lncRNA from 1 species
UGGGAAUUUGGUGUUUUGACAUGAAUGCUCUCUGACUUUGUUUUUGCCCUUUGGCUGUGUACCUAGUGUGUGUCAGUUCCUGGAGCUGUGUCAGAGCCCAGAAGGUGGCUUUGGAGGAGGACCCGGUCAGUAUCCACACCUUGCACCCACAUAUGCAGCAGUCAAUGCAUUGUGCAUCAUUGGCACCGAGGAGGCCUAUGACAUCAUUAACAGAGAGAAGCUUCUUCAGUAUUUGUACUCCCUGAAGCAACCUGACGGCUCCUUUCUCAUGCAUGUCGGAGGUGAGGUGGAUGUGAG